rnacentral:ncRNA from 1 species
CCCCAAAAAAGGCAAACCCGGCGAAAGCCGGGGGCGCAAAGCCAUGGGGCCUAAGGCGGUUAACUCGCUACGGCAGCCCGGCUGCUGGG